UGGGGAAUAUUGCACAAUGGGGGAAACCCUGAUGCAGCGACGCCGCGUGAGCGAAGAAGUAUUUCGGUAUGUAAAGCUCUAUCAGCAGGGAAGAAGAAAUGACGGUACCUGACUAAGAAGCCCCGGCUAACUACGUGCCAGCAGCCGCGGUAAUACGUAGGGGCAAGCGUUAUCCGGAUUUACUGGGUGUAAAGGGCGUGCAGCCGGGUCUGCAAGUCAGAUGUGAAAUCCGUGGGCUCAACCCACGAACUGCAUUUGAAACUGUGGAUCUUGAGUAUCGGAGAGGUAAUCGGAAUUCCUUGUGUAGCGGUGAAAUGCGUAGAUAUAAGGAAGAACACCAGUGGCGAAGGCGGAUUACUGGACGACAACUGACGGUGAGGCGCGAAAG
rnacentral:rRNA from 1 species